rnacentral:rRNA from 1 species
ACUAGGAUUUAUCCUGGGGUCACAAUGGGCUUGAUUUGCAAACUUUAUUUAGCGAGGAACAAUUGGAGGGCAAGUCUGGUGCCAGCAGCCGCGGUAAUUCCAGCUCCAAUAGUGUAUAUUAAUGUUCCUGCAGUUAUUCGAUGCUCGUAGUUGGAUUUCUGGAGGCUGAGAUCGGAGGGUAGCCAAGGUUACCGCUGAACUCUUCCUUCAUCCACCUGUUAACGUUGUCCGGGAUUCGUUUCUCGGCUUCGGGCUCAGGCAUAUACUUUUACCCUUUUUCUAUAUUUAUUGUUUUGAGUAAAUUAUAGUGUUUCAGGCAGGCGUGCGCCGGAAUACUUUAGCAUGGAAUAAUCGAAUUGGACCGUGUAUUCUUAUUGAAUUCUUCCCUAUUGUUGGUUCAAGGACACGGAAAUGGUUAAUAGGGAUAGUGUUUUUAUUAUCAGGGGAGGCAUUAGUAUUUAAUUUCCAGAGGUGAAAUUCUUUGAAAUAUUAAAGACUAACUUAUGCGAAAGCAUUUAUUAUUGCCAAUAAUGUUUUCAUUAAUCAUUGAACGAAAGUUAGGGGAUCAAAGACGAUCAGAUACCGUCCUAGUCUUAACCAUAAACGUUGCCGACUAGGGAUCGGAGGGCGUGCACAUUCCGCCUUCGGCACCUUACGAGAAAUCAAAGUUUUUGGGUUCUGGGGGUAGUAUGGUCGCAAGGCUGAAACUUAAAGGAAUUGACGGAAGGGCACCACCAGGAGUGGAGCUUGCGGCUCAAUUUGACUCAACACGGGAAAUCUUACCAGGUCCAGACAUAGCGAGGAUUGACAGAUUGACAGCUCUUUCUUGAUUCUAUGGGUAUUUUAUAUAUAUUUUGGUGGUGCAUGGCCGUUCUUAGUUGGUGGAGUGAUUUGUCUGGUUAAUUCCGUUAAACGAACGAGACCUCAGCCUGCUAAAUAGUUACCUGUCUUUUCAUUUUUUAUAAUUACGAGACUUGAUAACUUCUUAGAGGGACGUUGUGUGCAACCACAAGGAAGUUGAGGCAAUAACAGGUCUGUGAUGCCCUUAGAUGUCCUGGGCCGCACGCGUGCUACACUGAUACGUACAACAAGGGGGGUAUAUGCAUUCAUGCAUCGACGCUGCUCCGAGAUAGACACAGCUAAAUCUUCUAAAAUACGUAUCGUGCUGCGGAUAGAUCGUUGAAAUUAUGGAUCUUGAAGGUGGAAUUCCUAGUAAGCGCGGGACAUCAGCCCGCGUUGAUUACGUCCCUGCCCUUUGUACACACCGCCCGUCGCUCCUACCAAUUUCGAGUGGCUCGGUGAACCUCUUUGGACUGUCGAGCAAUCGCGAAAUUAGAGUGAACCUGGUCAC